AUUGAACGCUGGCGGCAGGCCUAACACAUGCAAGUCGAGCGAGCGGCGGACGGGGGAGAAAUGUCUGGGAAAAUGCCUGCUGGCGGGGGAUAACUACUGGAAACGGUAGCUAAUACCGCAUACCAUCAGAUGUGCCCAGAUGGGAUUAGCUAGUAGGUGGGGUAACGGCUCACCUAGGCGACGAUCCCUAGCUGGUCUGAGAGGAUGACCAGCCACACGGGAACUGAGACACGGUCCAGACUCUGACGGGAGGCAGAAGUGGGGAAUAUGGCACAAUGGGCGCAAGCCUGAUACAGCCAUGCCGCGUGUGUGAAGAAGGCCUUCGGGUUGUAAAGCACUUUCAGCGGGGAGGCGUUACCCGCAGAAGAAGCACCGGCUAACUCCGUGCCAGCAGCCGCGGUAAUUC
rnacentral:rRNA from 1 species